UACGUAGGGGGCAAGCGUUGUCCGGAAUCAUUGGGCGUAAAGAGCGUGUAGGCGGUCCGGUCAGUCGGUUGUGAAAGUCAAGGGCUCAACCCUUGAAUGCCGGCCGAUACUGCCGGGCUAGAGUCCGGAAGAGGUGAGUGGAAUUCCUGGUGUAGCGGUGAAAUGCGCAGAUAUCAGGAGGAACACCGGUGGCGAAGGCGGUUCUCUGGGCCUGUACUGACGCUGAGGAACGAAAGCGUGGGGAGCGAACAGG
rnacentral:rRNA from 1 species